CGUGCCGACUGCGAUAUCUCCAUUGAUCAGUUAGUUGUCUUGCUCACUUGGUCAUCUUCAGCUUUACCUGAGUGCUACUAAGCGCAGAAUUGUAGUUUUAGGGGUCGGACUGGUGUUGUAAGGUUCUUGUAUUUGCGGAUUGGUUGGUAUGUAUGCGAUUUUUCUAUAACUCACAGUUGUAGCUGGCACUGUCCGUUAUAGCUUACGAAGCUACUCAAACCUUGCUCCGUAGUCUGGGAAGUCUGAGCCAGAAUUGGUUGUUCCUCGUUAUCGAUGUAGCUCAAUCCCGUGUGUACAACACGGUGUGUGCUCUUUAUCUUUGCACUGGAAGUUGAAUGGUGGAUUGCUAGAGUGGUUGGGCGAGUGGGCAGUUAGGCAGACGCACAUGUCUGGAUUAACAAUCGGGCAUUGGCCCCACAUGUAUCGAUGCUUGUUUUUGGGGCGGAUUUGCGAGUAGAGUGUCGAAGCAGUGAUGAUCGAAAUACCAGUAUAAGCCAGUUCUGCUACUGAGAAUUUGUGAAUGAGAAACUGGUGAAGAACUGAGCUUGGGAGUUGCAGUGUAGGAGAGGUGCGAGGGGUGUUUCGCGGUGACGACAAGAAAAUUUCGUCAAGCUCAACAGACUUGAUACGGGGACAGAAAUAUAAUUUCGCAUCCCAUAUGAUAGUUAACCCGCUGAUCUGAACGAACACCUGGUUGAAUGGGGAGACAGAGAGGGGAGAGUGGAGGUCGAUGAUGAAGAAUCCUAGGCUUGUUUCCUAAACAUUCGCAGUGGCCGCCUAAAGCUUUCGUCUUGCGGGACUAGAGAGCUAAUGCAGCUUCCAAACCUUCCUUGGACGUCUGAGACUAUAGAGACAAUGGUAAAGUCAAGGACCACACGAUCGAACUUGGUUCUGUCGAGGCACAGAAAUAUAGUCAGUGGUGACAGAUUCACUUAAAACGAGUCUGUCAGUAUGUACCUUUCUACACAACACCGUUGAGGUGGAAAGGUAGAAUUUACCAGUGGAUUCGAACAUGGUACGGUUAUCAGUCGCGCAGUAUCAAUUUUGCCAGUGGACUUGGAAAUAAGGGUGAUUGGCAUGCACGGGGUUUUCCACAUUUAUACGUGGACUUCUAUAGCUCAUAAACUGUGUUCCGUGUGAAAUCCCACACAGAUUGCCAAUUACCUAAAUCUUUGGAGAUAGAAAUCACCACGAUUCCGAUGGGUUAGGAUUGUUUCUCCCUGAUAAGAAUCGUGUAUAUCGAAAACUCCGAGCAUGAGAAUUUGAAAUUUCCUCUUCGACUCUGCUAUGUAAUCUGGUUGCUGAUGAUGAAGAAGCAUGUAUCAACUUUGUUACUGAAUCCGGUUGUGGGUGGGGAUGUAACAUCUUAUCUUCUCUCUGAGGCAAGGUGCUGCGGCAGUAGUUUUGAAGUAGUGUAUGGACGCUGGCGUGGUAUACGUAGGAUCGAUGCACAAUGCACCCCGGGCAGCUCUGAUUUGAGAGGAUGAAUCGGCCCUAAGCAUGUGCUAGAGAUGCAUGUGUGAAGCUCUUGCCGGUUGCGAAGCCGGUGGAGAGUGACACUGGGUCUGUCUCGUGUUACUUGCCUUAUGUGAUUCUCCAUACUGCAAGCGUCAAAAUGAGCAGAUACAUUUAUGCUGAGAAGUAGUUUGGGGGGUGGUGGCGUAUGAUGGGAGGGUAGGGGGAAGUUGAGUGGGUGUGGGAGUGAGAAGUGUGGAGGGUUGGGGGAGGGCAGGUGAGUUCUCCGUGAUGACGAUUUAUAGAUGACGAAUCUGAGCUUAAGGCGCAGGCGAAGGUCAGUGGAUCCGCGUAUGCGAUGUCUUAUCGCAUGCGUGCGUGAGGCUGCCGGAGGCUGCGAACCGCUGGGUUGCCAGUUGCUCUGAAGCACAAACGAGGCAUUUGUCUGAGAGGAUGAUACAAGUGUGUGGGAUUUCUGAGCUGGGGCGGGGCGGUGGGGGGGGAAGUCUGUAGGGGCACAGCCUGAUGAUGCAGUCUAUAAUCUUUGAGACCUGAUUGCCGUGUGGCAGUGUUGAGAAACAGCAGACCCUGAAGGCUUGGGUAGAAGGUGGGGUGGAUGUGGUAUAGGGAGGAGUGGAUGGGAAAUGUGGAUGACGGUGAAGAUAUUACAUGCAGUCAAUACGCUGCGGAGGUCUAGCUUUGGUGCGAUGGGCUAGAAGUGACGGCUGACAUGUUCCCUGCGAGCAGAGAGAAAUAUGCGCUGAGAUUGGAUUGAGGGCCUCAUCUCUAAAGCAGAGCAUAAGAGCGGCCGGGCUUGAAACUUCAGGGCAGCGGCUUUGAAAUGCUUUGAGGUGCAGGCAGAAGUGAUGAGAACCCCUCCAGGACCCAGUGAUGCUGGGUGCACAAGUACGUCUGCUUGGCCCCUCUGGUUGACACUGCUACGCUAGAUUGGAAUCUCCAUGAGCUCGAUGUGUUGUGAUGGUGCCAAUACAGCUGCUACAGGCCCCAUGCUUGUGAGAAUUAUCAUGUGUAUUCCUAAGUAAAGUUAAUUAGAUUUACACAUGUUGAUAUUCUUUUGACAGUUAUUUAGAACAUAUCUACUAAUAAAUUAGAACGUUCAGGCUCCGCACUUUUGCAUAACCCAGUAAUUGGAUUUCGGCACCUGAUAUUUCUAGGAUCUCUUGAAUUAUCAAAUCUUAAAUAUCAUUGUUCAAACUUUGGUGUUAGGCAGUGUGGUAUGGAAUCAAAGAGGAAAGAGAGCUGAGCCAAUGUGGUACUCUUUCGAUAUUUCGAAAUCAACCACCACGCGAGGUAGGUGAUUUGGUGAAAUAUCAAGUAAUAUUCUGAAAUGUCAGUGAGCUACUAUUUGAUUGGGGGCAA